GCCAUCAUGGAUUAAGCCAUGUGAAAUACGAAGGGGACAGGAUACCAAUCUCCAAAGGCCCUUCGCCCCUUAUUCAAUGAAUACCUUGAAUAGCUGGUCGCGUGUCAGCAACAACUUCUGUAGGACAACGGGACAAAAGUGUUUUCUAACGAGCACCUCCGUUUCUAAUAACAUGGGGAUAGGAACUCACAGAAACAUCAUAAAGGUUCAGCAGUGUGACUCGGAUGUGAUCUACAUUUGAAGUUUUUUGGACACACAACGCUCAGAAGGUGAAUACGUUAGUUUGUGUAAAACCAUCGUCGGAGGGUUUGUAGUGACAUUAACAGCCUUUUCUUCUUCGGGAGUUUAUUGUGUGCUGUACGGGCUUCAGUGAUGGCCAUUUCCUUGUAAAGGAAUGCCAAGGAUUCUUCCUCGUGCUGCUAAUUUAGACGGUGGGCCAGGUAGAAGACGACUCACUCCCUGGAAAAAAGGCUGAAGUUCUACAAACUGUGCACAUCCUGAUUGGAACAGAGACCUGUUGUCCUGGUUUUGGACCCUUUGGCUUGCCCUCAGCCGACAGCUGUUGCUUGUUCCCUGGAUUAUUCCAUCCUGGUAUGGAUGCCACAUUCGGCCUCUGACUCCGUCUGCUCCCCAUGCCAAUGCUUGCCCACUGGCUGGCUCCUUCUCCAGCUGGCACCUUCUUACCCUGACCCGUCCUUCUCCCUGACUGCAAGGCUUCAGCUGGAGGCUAGGAAGAUCCUGAGCUCUUGUCCAUCUUAGUUUUCCUCGCUCAGCCUCAGGAUGUGGCUGGGAGGUCCAUUUGACAUUAUUGCAGUGAUGGUCACUGGUAGUUUGAGCUAUCACUUAGCAACUUGAAUGUUCAACUUAUUUCAUUUUCUAUCUUGAUGGUGACCUCAUAAGAAAAUAUCAACCCUGCUAGAUUGAUUUCUCUUAUGGAACGUCAGCCUUGGGCCAAUAUCAAGAGAGAAGGCUGGAGGCUCUCCUGAAGCCUCGGUGUCUUACCUCUAACCUCUCUGACAAGACUGAGGCAACCUGAUAAGGAGCUUCCUGACUCCCCUGGUCUACAUUUCAGAACUCCGAAUCACUCCUGUUUUCUUCUCCAUCCCUUAGAGUAAGAGCUAGCCUUUCUCUUACUACCGCUAAUCCCUGAACCUCCUGCUUUGCUCCUCUGGCAUCUUUUCUUUCUUCCUUUUCAUUUUCUCCAGGCAGACAGACAUGCCUCCCCAAUUAAAAAAUAAAAAGCCUUUUCUAACCUUACCCCA
rnacentral:lncRNA from 1 species